UGGCUCAGAACGAACGCUGGCGGCAGGCUUAACACAUGCAAGUCGAGCGCCCCGCAAGGGGAGCGGCAGACGGGUGAGUAACGCGUGGGAAUCUACCCUUGACUACGGAAUAACGCAGGGAAACUUGUGCUAAUACCGUAUGUGUCCUUCGGGAGAAAGAUUUAUCGGUCAAGGAUGAGCCCGCGUUGGAUUAGCUAGUUGGUGGGGUAAAGGCCUACCAAGGCGACGAUCCAUAGCUGGUCUGAGAGGAUGAUCAGCCACAUUGGGACUGAGACACGGCCCAAACUCCUACGGGAGGCAGCAGUGGGGAAUAUUGGACAAUGGGCGCAAGCCUGAUCCAGCCAUGCCGCGUGAGUGAUGAAGGCCCUAGGGUUGUAAAGCUCUUUCACCGGAGAAGAUAAUGACG
rnacentral:rRNA from 2 species